rnacentral:rRNA from 1 species
UACAGAGGUCUCAAGCGUUGUUCGGAUUCAUUGGGCGUAAAGGGCGCGUAGGCGGCACUGUUAGUCAGGCGUGAAAGUCCUGGGCUCAACCUGGGAACUGCGCUUGAUACGGCAGAGCUAGAGGAUGGAAGAGGGUCGCGGAAUUCCCAGUGUAGAGGUGAAAUUCGUAGAUAUUGGGAAGAACACCGGUGGCGAAGGCGGCGACCUGGUCCAUUACUGACGCUGAGGCGCGACAGCGUGGGGAGCAAACAGG